AUUGAUUAUCCAGGCAGGGACUACACACGUAUUUUACUUUCUGUGUAUAUCUGUAUCUUUUCCCAUGAUAGACUUUGUUUUGGCAAAGGACAAACAUACUCAUAGCAAGUGGGGUAUGUUCUAAAGUUUCCUGGUUUAGACUUGCCCAUUGUGACCAUAUCAUGUGACUCCUUGCAUAAUCUAGGAUAUGGAACUUCUCUGAAUUACUUCCUGCAUCAUGUCUAAUAGCUGUAGUUGUUAACAAAGCUUACAACUUGCAGGGAUGAAAAGUCUAAUAAGGCAUUUUGAAAGCUGGUCAAGGGGCAAAGUCUCAUCACAGCUAAUAUGUACUUCAUUUUUAAUAUAAAUUUCUCUAGGCUUAAUUUCCAGUGACUGGAGUUUUGUAUACCGGAUUGGAGACCACUCUAUUCUGUUUCUCUAGGAUAGUCUGCAAAAAGCAGGAUGACUGAAAUUUUCUCCAAGAUCGUCUUGGUACUAGGUCCCUCUUUAAGGCUAGUAAUGAGCUAUCAUAACCCUGUAAUGCUUCAAAUUACUCUAGAGUUUCGUGUUCCGGGAAGUUUAAUAUUUAGACUGAUUCAAACUCAGAAAUGACAUAACACUUGGUCACAAACCAGUAUGAAAAAGCAGGGAUAUAAUUGCACUCUUGAAUGAAGCAAGUUAGAUGUGUAAUUCUGCCUAGGUCAUCCAGCAUGAGGUUUCAUUUCAGAAGCACCUCUGUCUGAUGUCAGGCUUUUUUUUCCAUCAACAGGCCCAUAAAUUGAUAACAUAGUUAAGUUAUUUAUCAAAAUUGUGGAAUUCAGACAUUUUUCAGGGGUGCAUUAACGCUCCCUGUAACCCACUGCUAGUUUAGAACUUUGGAGGAAAUGGCUUGCUUUGGCUGAGAGAUUCCAAUUUAGAAGAGACAAACCCAGGAGUGUGUCUCCAGCUGCAUCUGAGGGAUCACUUCUGGCUCCAGCACGCCUUGACUCUCUCCUGUUAGUCCAUAGCUGAGUGGAACAGAGGAGGACCCAGGCAAUAUCUAAAUACAGAUGGUGUUGAGAAUGAUUUCAGGAUAUCACAGCAAAUGGAGUGCUUCAGUAUGGGCAAACAGAACUCAGCCUCAUGAACAACACUUGGUGGUCUGUUACUUCAAGUGAUGCUCUACUCUCCCUGGCUUUCUGAGCACGAGCUGGCAAGUAUCAGAACUGCAGGUCAGAAGAGAAAUUUGGACAUAAACUGAGCAGCUGGAGGAGGGCAGUUUGUCUCUCACUGCACUUCAAAGUAAGUAAAUGGAAGGUUAAAGAGAAAUAGACACACUGGUUCAUACCCUGAGGUUAUCAAGGAUAAUGAAAAUUGUGUUGUGUGGUAAAUUGUGGUACAAUUAUAUAUUCCUGGAGUUA